CAUUCCGAGGAGCGUUGCAGCCCAGGCGCAAAGCCUGGGCGAGGCUCGGAUUUCCCCUUCCCCCCUCGUGGCGGGGCGGGCACAAACAACGGCGCUCACCCACC
rnacentral:ncRNA from 2 species